rnacentral:tRNA from 1 species
ACCCUUGUGGAGAAGGACGCCGAAGGUGGGGCUGAUGACUGGGGUGAAGUCGUAACAAGGUAGCCGUACCGCCAGUCCGAAGUCGUUACUUUAACCCUUGUGGAGAAGGACGCCGAAGGUGGGGCUGAUGACUGGGGUGAAGUCGUAACAAGGUAGCCGUACCGGAAGGUGCGGCUGGAUCACCUCCUAACAGGGAGACAAUAAAUUGAUUGUGAUUGUAUUUAAGGUCAAGCUACAAAGGGCUCAKGGCCGAUACCUUGGCACUCGGAGCCUAUGAUGUCUUAAUUGUUUCCUGAAUUGAUUUUGUGAUUGUAUUUAAGGUCAAGCUACAAAGGGCUCAUGGCGGAUACCUUGGCACACAGAGGCGAUGAGGUCAUAGCUGUUUCCUGAUGAUAAGGGUGAGGUCCCUGGUUCAAGUCCAGGAUGGCCCAUUCGUUGUUGGGGGUAUAGCUCAGUUGGUAGAGCGCCUGCUUUGCAAGCAGGAUGUCAGCGGUUCGAGUCCGCUUACCUCCACUGAAAACUAUCCUGAUAACUAAAUUCUGGAGAAAAA